rnacentral:rRNA from 1 species
AUUGAACGCUGGCGGAAUGCUUUACACAUGCAAGUCGAACGGCAGCAUAGGUGCUUGCACCUGAUGGCGAGUGGCGAACGGGUGAGUAAUACAUCGGAACGUGCCCAGUCGUGGGGGAUAACGUAGCGAAAGUUACGCUAAUACCGCAUACGAUCUACGGAUGAAAGCGGGGGACCGUAAGGCCUCGCGCGAUUGGAGCGGCCGAUGGCAGAUUAGGUAGUUGGUGGGGUAAAGGCCCACCAAGCCAACGAUCUGUAGCUGGUCUGAGAGGACGACCAGACACAGUGGGACUGGGACACGGCCCAGACUCCUACGGGAGGCAGCAGUGGGGAAUUUUGGACAAUGGGCGCAAGCCUGAUCCAGCCAUUCCGCGUGCAGGAUGAAGGCCUUCGGGUUGUAAACUGCUUUUGUACGGAACGAAAAGCUCUGGGUUAAUACCCCGGGGUCAUGACGGUACCGUAAGAAUAAGCACCGGCUAACUACGUGCCAGCAGCCGCCGUAA